GGUUAAGCGACUAAGCGUACACGGUGGAUGCCCUGGCAGUCAGAGGCGAUGAAGGGCGUGCUAAUCUGCGAUAAGCGCCGGUAAGGUGAUAUGAACCGUUAUAACCGGCGAUACCCGAAUGGGGAAACCCAGUGUGAUUCGUCACACUAUCAUUAACUGAAUCCAUAGGUUAAUGAGGCGAACCGGGGGAACUGAAACAUCUAAGUACCCCGAGGAAAAGAAAUCAACCGAGAUUCCCCCAGUAGCGGCGAGCGAACGGGGAGGAGCCCAGAGCCUGAAUCAGCAUGUGUGUUAGUGGAAGCGUCUGGAAAGGCGCGCGAUACAGGGUGACAGCCCCGUACACAAAAGCGCAUGUGCUGUGAGCUCGAUGAGUAGGGCGGGACACGUGGUAUCCUGUCUGAAUAUGGGGGGACCAUCCUCCAAGGCUAAAUACUCCUGACUGACCGAUAGUGAACCAGUACCGUGAGGGAAAGGCGAAAAGAACCCCGGCGAGGGGAGUGAAAAAGAACCUGAAACCGUGUACGUACAAGCAGUGGGAGCACAGGUUUACCUGUGUGACUGCGUACCUUUUGUAUAAUGGGUCAGCGACUUAUAUUCUGUAGCAAGGUUAACCGUAUAGGGGAGCCGUAGGGAAACCGAGUCUUAACCGGGCGUUAAGUUGCAGGGUAUAGACCCGAAACCCGGUGAUCUAGCCAUGGGCAGGUUGAAGGUUGGGUAACACUAACUGGAGGACCGAACCGACUAAUGUUGAAAAAUUAGCGGAUGACCUGUGGCUGGGGGUGAAAGGCCAAUCAAACCGGGAGAUAGCUGGUUCUCCCCGAAAGCUAUUUAGGUAGCGCCUCGUGAAUUCAUCUCCGGGGGUAGAGCACUGUUUCGGCUAGGGGGCCAUCCCGGCUUACCAACCCGAUGCAAACUGCGAAUACCGGAGAAUGUUAUCACGGGAGACACACGGCGGGUGCUAACGUCCGUCGUGAAGAGGGAAACAACCCAGACCGCCAGCUAAGGUCCCAAAGUCAUGGUUAAGUGGGAAACGAUGUGGGAAGGCCCAGACAGCCAGGAUGUUGGCUUAGAAGCAGCCAUCAUUUAAAGAAAGCGUAAUAGCUCACUGGUCGAGUCGGCCUGCGCGGAAGAUGUAACGGGGCUAAACCAUGCACCGAAGCUGCGGCAGCGAACGUAUCACUUAAAGCGAUUCAGCGGGUUACGAUUGACGGAGCGAAGCGACGUCAAAGCGUAUACAAAGUCGAGUCGGUUUAAGGAUACGUUCGUUGGGUAGGGGAGCGUUCUGUAAGCCUGCGAAGGUGGCCUGUGAGGGUUGCUGGAGGUAUCAGAAGUGCGAAUGCUGACAUAAGUAACGAUAAAGCGGGUGAAAAGCCCGCUCGCCGGAAGACCAAGGGUUCCUGUCCAACGUUAAUCGGGGCAGGGUGAGUCGACCCCUAAGGCGAGGCCGAAAGGCGUAGUCGAUGGGAAACGGGUUAAUAUUCCCGUACUUGGUGUUACUGCGAAGGGGGGACGGAGAAGGCUAUGUUGGCCGGGCGACGGUUGUCCCGGUUUAAGCGUGUAGGUGUGUGUUCCAGGUAAAUCCGGUUCACUUUAACACUGAGGCGUGAUGACGAGGCACUACGGUGCUGAAGCAACAAAUGCCCUGCUUCCAGGAAAAGCCUCUAAGCAUCAGGUAACAUCAAAUCGUACCCCAAACCGACACAGGUGGUCAGGUAGAGAAUACCAAGGCGCUUGAGAGAACUCGGGUGAAGGAACUAGGCAAAAUGGUGCCGUAACUUCGGGAGAAGGCACGCUGACACGUAGGUGAAGUGAUUUACUCAUGGAGCUGAAGUCAGUCGAAGAUACCAGCUGGCUGCAACUGUUUAUUAAAAACACAGCACUGUGCAAACACGAAAGUGGACGUAUACGGUGUGACGCCUGCCCGGUGCCGGAAGGUUAAUUGAUGGGGUCAGCGCAAGCGAAGCUCCUGAUCGAAGCCCCGGUAAACGGCGGCCGUAACUAUAACGGUCCUAAGGUAGCGAAAUUCCUUGUCGGGUAAGUUCCGACCUGCACGAAUGGCGUAAUGAUGGCCAGGCUGUCUCCACCCGAGACUCAGUGAAAUUGAACUCGCUGUGAAGAUGCAGUGUACCCGCGGCAAGACGGAAAGACCCCGUGAACCUUUACUAUAGCUUGACACUGAACAUUGAGCCUUGAUGUGUAGGAUAGGUGGGAGGCUUUGAAGUGUGGACGCCAGUCUGCAUGGAGCCGACCUUGAAAUACCACCCUUUAAUGUUUGAUGUUCUAACGUGGACCCGUGAUCCGGGUUGCGGACAGUGUCUGGUGGGUAGUUUGACUGGGGCGGUCUCCUCCUAAAGAGUAACGGAGGAGCACGAAGGUUGGCUAAUCCUGGUCGGACAUCAGGAGGUUAGUGCAAUGGCAUAAGCCAGCUUGACUGCGAGCGUGACGGCGCGAGCAGGUGCGAAAGCAGGUCAUAGUGAUCCGGUGGUUCUGAAUGGAAGGGCCAUCGCUCAACGGAUAAAAGGUACUCCGGGGAUAACAGGCUGAUACCGCCCAAGAGUUCAUAUCGACGGCGGUGUUUGGCACCUCGAUGUCGGCUCAUCACAUCCUGGGGCUGAAGUAGGUCCCAAGGGUAUGGCUGUUCGCCAUUUAAAGUGGUACGCGAGCUGGGUUUAGAACGUCGUGAGACAGUUCGGUCCCUAUCUGCCGUGGGCGCUGGAGAACUGAGGGGGGCUGCUCCUAGUACGAGAGGACCGGAGUGGACGCAUCACUGGUGUUCGGGUUGUCAUGCCAAUGGCACUGCCCGGUAGCUAAAUGCGGAAGAGAUAAGUGCUGAAAGCAUCUAAGCACGAAACUUGCCCCGAGAUGAGUUCUCCCUGAGACUUAGAGUCUCCUGAAGGAACGUUGAAGACGACGACGUUGAUAGGCCGGGUGUGUAAGCGCAGCGAUGCGUUGAGCUAACCGGUACUAAUGAACCGUGAGGCUUAACCUU
rnacentral:rRNA from 2 species